rnacentral:lncRNA from 1 species
ACCUGGAUGAACAGUAACCCGAACUGACAGUGGGUUACUUCAUCCCGGUUUUGAUCCACUUUCAGGACUCCAAAUUUGAUGAAAUUUUUACCUAACAUUCUACACUCAUAGAGGAUUCCAAAGAGAUAACAUGCAUCACUAUCGGAGGCCGUUUGACCCCCUAAAUAAUUUGCCAAAGUUGGAACUUUGACACGAUUUUUCCGUAGUGUCGGAAAAAUUUGUCGAAAUCCGAUUCUUUCUCUUUUAACCACCUCUACAACCCUUAUCUGACCCCUCUAGACUACAUCCACCCUUUGUAUAGCCUAAUAUCAUCAAAAGACUAGGUAGGAACGGAUAUUUACCUUUUUCUUUUUUUGAAAUCGAGGUCCUUGCGUAGAGGGGAAGGAGAUCUACGUUUUUUCCUUUAGCUGGAAGUGCAUCCGGGAUUUCUUUCCCUUUCUUUUUCUUCUUCUUCUUCCUCUUCCUUUCUUCCUUUCCUUUCCUCUUCUUCUUUUUCUUCC